rnacentral:tRNA from 2 species
GGGGCCGAAGCAUAGGAGGAGAUGCACGGGGCUCUUAACCCUGAGAACAGAGUUCGAAUCUCUGCGGCCUCA